CGGGGUGUAGCGCAGUUUGGUAGCGCGCACGGUUCGGGACCGUGAGGUCGUGAGUUCGAAUCUCACCACCCCGA
rnacentral:tRNA from 1 species